rnacentral:rRNA from 1 species
CCCAUUGAUGCGAACAAUAUUCUUGCAAUCCCGUUGAGUCCACAUCUACAGGAAGAUUUUGUGGCAUGGUAUAAGACAAAAAACAUUUUGUUCUCUGUCCGUUCUGCCUAUCACAUUGAAUGGGAUCAUCAGUUCGGCGCACAAACAAGAAGAGAAGAUGGGCAAGGCUCUACUGAACCGAACCCGGUGUGGGACAUUUUAUGGAAGCUAAAAAUUCCAAGUAAGAUUAAGGUGUUUCUAUGUAAGGCUCUGCAUGGUACAUUUACAGGCAUGGCGAUCCUUGCUUCGCGACACAUACCCGUCUCACCACAAUGCCCUAUUUGUCGGUCGGGUCUGGAGAAUAUCCGACACUUGUUAUUUACAUGCACUCGUGCACGGAAGGUUUGGUCUGCGCUCGGGCUCCUGGAUAUCAUUGAUGAUGCAUGGAUUGCAGACAUGUCAGGAUCAGUAGUACUUGAGCAUAUUAUUUGCAACCCAAACAGGAAGUCGCAUGUCCUGGGUAUGUUAGGAUUACAGGAGUCAGUAGCCGCUGCAUGUUGGUAUGUAUGGUGGCAAAGAAGGGAAGCAAAGGGCGAAACUGUAGCGGAUUCCCCCUGGACGGCCUUUGCGAUUCAGGCUCUAACAUCAAUUUUUGGAGCUGUUUCCCAUUCCAGUAAACCACAUGAAAUAACGUGGGAAAAGCCAAGCCGAGGGUGUUAUAAAUUAAAUACAGAUGCUGCUUUCCGUCAAGAUGGUUCAGGUGCAGUUGGGGUCGUCAUACGUAAUAGUGCAGGUGAGGCUGUGGCAGGAGCUGCAAGUCCUUUUCAUACGGCCUUUGAUAUUGCCUCGGCGGAGGCCCUUGCACUGCUAAAAGGACUAUAA